UUAUCUCCCAGUGGAGAUGAAAGUCCAGGCUCCAUAUCUGGUGUUCUCUGACACUACCCUGUAAGAGCGGGAAGGCUGGGAGAAUGUUUUACAGCCGAGAAGUCUGACUCCCUACUUAACUUUUGCUGACAUGGGUUGGGAUCUUCAACAUACUCCUAUGUUUAUCCUUUCAUCAGCCAUUCAUUCUCUUCUCCAGAAUCUUUUCUCAAGCAGAAAACCAUUUUUAGCAGAGUACACAUUUGGAGGAUCACACUGUAGCUCGGGAAGAUGGCCAGCACCAAGGCUUUUGGCCUCCUCCACUUUCCAGGAUAGACUUGGCUUUGCUGAGUGCAGCAUUUGAGGAUGAAAUGCUCCCUGCAGGUGCAAGGGCUCAGCCUCUGACCACAAUCAGGAGGUCUACUCGGGCUUUGUUGGAUGUUCCUCCACUGCACCUGCUGUCUGGACACCUACUGGCACAGGCUCAUUUGUCCCAGGAAACUUGAUGAUUUAUCCCAGGCAUCUGGCCUCUUCUACCCCCUGGGCCUUGCCUCUCUCCUUGUCCUCAUCGUCUGUCCCUGUCCUUCUCCCCAGUGUGGUCAACAACAAGAGUGGUUAGGUUUCCCCACACGAUCUGCAUUAUGCCAUGGACAGAACUGCUUAGCAGUGCUUAGAGUACACACUGUAAAGGAAUUUGGGGAUAUGGUAAUGAGGAAGCCCAUAACAAGACGCGGAGAAGAUUCACAAUCAAAUUGCAAUAAAUCUGCGGAGACUCCUUAAAGAACAAGACACACAGGAAAAGCCUGAUUGCUGGAAAAACUGCUUUGCAAAUGAGUGGUAUGGCUGCUGAAUCUUUGAAAAGACAGCAGCACUUUCAGAGAGACACAACUGCAGGCCCUAACCACGUAUUAGUCAGCCCACAUGACUGGCCGGUGAAUGAUAGCGCCGCAUGUGCAGUCUCUCUCAGAAGAGUUUCUGGAGGGAUUCAGGUUUGAAUGCUGAUGUGGAAAGUAAAUAAAAUGUUCCAAUUUG